rnacentral:tRNA from 1 species
GGUGGGGUUCCCGAGCGGCCAAAGGGAGCAGACUGUAAAUCAUCCGUCAUCGACUUCGAAGGUUCGAAUCCUUCCCCCACCACCA